GACGAACGCUGGCGGCGUGCUUAACACAUGCAAGUCGAACGGAAAGGCCCUGCUUUUGUGGGGUGCUCGAGUGGCGAACGGGUGAGUAACACGUGAGUAACCUGCCCUUGACUUUGGGAUAACUUCAGGAAACUGGGGCUAAUACCGGAUAGGAGCUCCUGCUGCAUGGUGGGGGUUGGAAAGUUUCGGCGGUUGGGGAUGGACUCGCGGCUUAUCAGCUUGUUGGUGGGGUAGUGGCUUACCAAGGCUUUGACGGGUAGCCGGCCUGAGAGGGUGACCGGCCACAUUGGGACUGAGAAACGGCCCAGACUCCUACGGGAGGCAGCAGUGGGGAAUAUUGCACAAUGGGCGGAAGCCUGAUGCAGCAACGCCGCGUGCGGGAUGACGGCCUUCGGGUUGUAAACCGCUUUCGCCUGUGACGAAGCGGGAGUGACGGUAAUGGGUAAAGAAGCACCGGCUAACUACGU
rnacentral:rRNA from 1 species